UCUCAUGGACUUUAUUUUAUUUUAUUUUUUUUGUAAUUUUUUGAAAAUUUAAAUCCAAGUUAGUUAACAUAUAGUGUAUUAAUGAUUUCAGGAAUAGAAUUUAAUGAUUCCUCACUUACAUACAACACCCAGUGUUCACCCCAACAAGUGCCCUCUUUAAUGCUCAUCACCUGUUUAGCCCAUCCUCCCACCCAACACCCCACCAGCAACCCUCAGUUUGUUCUCUGUAUUUAAAGGUCUUUUAUGGUUUGUCUCCUCUCUUAUUUUUUCUUCCCUUCCCAUAUGCUCAUCUAUUUUGUUUCUUAAAUUCCACAUACAAAUGAAAUCAUAUGAUAUUUGUGUCUCUUUGACUGACUUAUUUUGUUUAGCAUAAUACACUCUAGUUCCAUCUGCAUUGUUGCAAAUGACAAGAUCACAUUCUUUUUGAUCACCGAGUAAUAUUCCAUUGUAUAUAUACACCACAUCUUCUUUAUCCAUUCAUCAGUCGAUGGACAUUUGGGCUCUUUACAUACAUUGGCUAUUGUCAGUAGUGCUGCUAUAACAUUGGAGGGCAUGUGCCUGCCCCUUCAAAUCAGCAUUUUUGUAUCCUUUGGAUAAAUACCUAGUGGUGCAAUUGCUGAUUAUAGGGUAGUUCUAUUUUUAAUUUUUUGAGGAACCUCCAUACUGUUUUCCAGAGUGGCUGCACCCGUCCAUGCAUUGUAGUAUUAAAGAUGUAAAUAUUGAUGUCAUUUGAGAGACAAAGGUAGCAACAGCUUAAAUAAAAUAGGCAUUUCUCUAGCUCACUUUCUUAACAAUGUGGGUGGAAAUAGCCAAAGCGGGUUUGGUGGUUCCAUGGGAUUAGGGAUCCAGGCUACUUUCAUCUUCUUGUUCUACCCUAACAUGCAGCUUCCACCUUGUGGGCCGACAGGACUGCUCUAGCUCCAGCCAUCACACCUGCAUUUCAACUGUUGGGAAGGGGAUAAGUGGAAAGGGAGAGCAUACUUCUUUCCCUCAAGCCAAGAAGAACCAGUUUUAGACUGGUGUGUGAUUUGCUGAAGAGCUUGGAAGGUACCAGAGGAGAUUCAUGUCGAAAUCCCAUCUCCUGUUCUCCAACCUUACUUUCUAUGAAGACAAAACUUUGAAGACAAACUGAGUUUCCACAGGAAUAAUCACACAGAAGGACAGACCACUGCUAAUUUAUGUAGCUGGCGAUGCAGGGGUGUUGCCUCCUCUCCAGCAUGUCAGCCCAACUUCCUUUCAGUCUGUGCUGUCCAAGACCCAGUCUAGCUAGUUCAAACUCAUCUUCUCACCAAAUUCCAAGGCUAUUAAAGAUUCAAGGACAGGGCUCAGUUGGUUAAGCAUCCAACUCUUGAUUUCAGCUCAGGUCAUGAUCUCACCGUUCGUGAGUUCAAGCCCCAUGCUGGGCUCUGCACUGACAGUGCGGAGCCUGCUUGAGAUUCUCUCUCCUACCCUCUCUCUGCACCCCCAUAUGUUUCUAAAUAAAUAAAUAAAUAAAUAGGUAGAUAAAUAAAUAAAUAAAUAAAUAUAUUUUUUAAAAGGGGUGUGGGGCAGCUGGGAGGCUCAGUCAGUUAUGCAUCCAGCUCUUGGUUUUGGCUCAGGUCAUGAUCUCACAGUUUGUGGGUUUGAGCCCCACAUCAGGCUCCACGCUGGCAAUGCGGAGCCUGCUUGGGAUUGUCUUUCUAUCCUUCUAUCUCUGUCCCUCCCCUGCUCACUCUCUCUCUCUCUC